GACACAUGUCAUUUAUUUGAAAGGGGCAAUUGCUCCACUACAAGAUGGACCUGCGUUGUAUUAGCUAGUAGGUGAGGUAACGGCUCACCCAGGCGACGAUACAUAGCCGACCUGAGAGGGUGAUCGGCCACACUGGGACUGAGACACGGCCCAGACUCCUACGGGAGGCAGCAGUAGGGAAUCUUCGGCAAUGGGGGCAACCCUGACCGAGCAACGCCGCGUGAGUGAAGAAGGUUUUCGGAUCGUAAAGCUCUGUUGUAAGUCAAGAACGAGUGUGAGAGUGGAAAGUUCACACUGUGACGGUAGCUUACCAGAAAGGGACGGCUAACUACGUGCCAGCAGCCGCGGUAAUACGUAGGUCCCGAGCGUUGUCCGGAUUUAUUGGGCGUAAAGCGAGCGCAGGCGGUUUGAUAAGUCUGAAGUUAAAGGCUGUGGCUCAACCAUAGUUCGCUUUGGAAACUGUCAAACUUGAGUGCAGAAGGGGAGAGUGGAAUUCCAUGUGUAGCGGUGAAAUGCGUAGAUAUAUGGAGGAACACCGGUGGCGAAAGCGGCUCUCUGGUCUGUAACUGACGCUGAGGCUCGAAAGCGUGGGGAGCG
rnacentral:rRNA from 1 species